GAUGAACGCUGGCGGCGUGCCUAAUACAUGCAAGUCGAGCGAACAGACGAGGAGCUUGCUCCUCUGACGUUAGCGGCGGACGGGUGAGUAACACGUGGAUAACCUACCUAUAAGACUGGGAUAACUUCGGGAAACCGGAGCUAAUACCGGAUAAUAUAUUGAACCGCAUGGUUCAAUAGUGAAAGACGGUUUUGCUGUCACUUAUAGAUGAAUCCGCCCGCAUUAGCUAGUUGGUAAGGUAACGGCUUACCAAGGCGACGAUGCGUAGCCGACCUGAGAGGGUGAUCGGCCACACUGGAACUGAGACACGGUCCAGACUCCUACGGGAGGCAGCAGUAGGGAAUCUUCCGCAAUGGGCGAAAGCCUGACGGAGCAACGCCGCGUGAGUGAUGAAGGUCUUCGGAUCGUAAAACUCUGUUAUUAGGGAAGAACAAAUGUGUAAGUAACUAUGCACGUCUUGACGGUACCUAAUCAGAAAGCCACGGCUAACUACGUG
rnacentral:rRNA from 1 species